UGACUGGUCUAACGCUAGGACCGGGAAGGAGUUUUCUGCUGGCCCGCUCUCCUGACCUCCUCCGCCCAAAGCUCAAUAUCCCGGUGAGGUUGCGCUUCACCCGCCAAAGCCAAAAUCCACAGCCUCUCUCUCUCUCUCUCUCUCUCUCUCUCUCUGAGAGAAGGACCUUCGUGACUCCGUCCCCUCUACCAGCUUCCUUCUUUGGGUGUUUCUCUCCUAAUUGCGAGAAGGACGCGACUUAGAACAUAGCUUCCGAGGCAGCAACAGCGAAGUGGUGGUUUUUAAAAUGCUCUCUCUUGCGUCACAAUCUCCUUGCUCUACUUUUGGCGGUGUCCCUCUAUCACCGUUUGGAAAUGUCUCCACCGCAUCCUUAUUUUGCAGCGUUCGCCUACAACCAAAAAUCUCUUGGCUACCACUUCAUAUUGAAGCGAGAGAAAGAGCUCGACAGGUGAGCCCAAAAGUCAGGAAUCGAAGGUUGCAAAGGAAGUUCAAUGGCACAUCCAGAAGACCACGGCUUUCUGUUUUCUGUUCUGGAAAGCAGUUGUACGCUGUGCUGGUUGAUGAUCAAAAUAAAAAAUGUUUAUUUUGUGGAAGCACCUUACAAAAGUCUAUGCGUGAGAGUCAUGACAAAGGCACUUGCAGCACCAUGGAAGCUGCGAAACGUGUUGGUGAAGAGCUUGUCAAGACGUGCAUCAGACAGAAAAUCCAUGAAAUUUCAUCCUAUGACCGCAAUGGUUUUUCUCGAGGAGAGCGAAUGAAAGCAUUUGAAUAUGCUGUUAUCAGACAUGGUUUUAUACCACCAUGGAAAAGUGAUGGUGACAUUCUGUUGCAGGAAAAGUGAUCAAUACUCACCAUAAACAUUGCCGUUUAUAUUCUGGGGGAGAUAGGAUUGCCAGCGAGGUCGUAUCUGAAGCCGGAAACUGAAUUCUGUAUUGGGUUCUUUCCCAUGUUUGCAGAAAAUGUAGAGAUGUUCCCUGGGGCCAGUGAUCUUAGAGCCAAGUAGAUUAUAUGAUGCGCCGGGCCUUUGCUCUUGUUCGGAACAGUCUGAAGUUGUGAAACCUAGGUUGUAGGCUUCGAGCCUUUCAGCCUGGUUUUCACCUAGGUGCCUAUCACUUGUGCUGGUUAUGCGCCUGUAUGAAAAUUGUUAAAAAAAAACCUGCGUUAUCGUGAUUGGGUAAUUUAAAUGCUUGAUUGUUCUAAAAUUAACAUUUAUAUAGAUUGGAUCUGUACUAUUAGAUACGCAAAACGACAUAAUUCUGAAACAUUUUCGUGGCCUCCACUUUAUUAUGCACGGUUCACAUU